AACGAUGGAACCUUUUGGAAUCUAAUACGUGAAUCUCUUAUAACAUCGAGCCCCUAAUUCUUUUACUCUUUAACAGGAGGGAAGGAUUUGGGUAAGGCUAUAGAUGUAAGGGACGAGAAUCGUAUUGGAGAGGUCAGCAUCAGUUACGAAGGAAAGAUUAGGGAUGCAGAAGGUAGGUCCCCCGUGGACUGUUUUAUAGAUGCAUCAUUUAAUAUACUUUCCUUUGUGACUGACGUGUACUUAUAGCAUGGAAUAUUCGGGCUACACUCUCUUUUGGGAGUACUCGAGUUCUGUGAUGCUGGCUGAAACGGUUUCAACCGACCCGUCUUGAAACACGGACCAAGGAGUCUAACAUAUGUGCGAGUAUGCGGGUGGCAAACCUGUAUGCGUAAUGAAAGUAAGAGUAGGGAGAAGGGUAACAUCUUUUUAGAGGGAUGUUAUGCUUUGCACCUACGACCGACCACGAUCUCAGAGAGAGGUUUGAGUUGGAGCAUAUCUGUUAGGACCCGAAAGAUGGUGAACUAUGCCUGGGUAGAAUGAAGUCAGGGGAAACCCUGAUGGAGGUUCGUAGCGAUACUGACGUGCAAAUCGUUCGUCAAACUUGGGUAUAGGGGCGAAAGACUAA
rnacentral:rRNA from 1 species